CUUCCUACGGGACGCAGCAGUGGGGGAUAUUGCACAAUGGGGGAAACCCUGAUGCAGCGACGCCGCGUGGGCGAAGAAGUAUUUCGGUAUGUAAAGCCCUAUCAGCAGGGAAGAAGAAAUGACGGUACCCGAGUAAGAAGCACCGGCUAAAUACGUGCCAGCAGCCGCGGUAAUACGUAUGGUGCAAGCGUUAUCCGGAUUUACUGGGUGUAAAGGGAGCGUAGACGGACUUGCAAGUCUGAUGUGAAAAUCCGGGGCCCAACCCCGGAACUGCAUUGGAAACUGUAUAUCUAGCGUGUCGGAGG
rnacentral:rRNA from 1 species